GACGAACGCUGGCGGCGUGCCUAAUACAUGCAAGUCGAGCGAAGUUUUUCUGGUGCUUGCACUAGAAAAAAUUCGCGGCGAACGGGUGCGUAACACGUAAAGAACCUGCCCCAUAGACCGGGACAACCAAUGGAAACGAUAGCUAAUACCGGAUAACAGUAUUUCUCGCAUGCGUGAUAUUUAAACGUUGGUUAUGCUAACAUUACGAGAUGGCUUUGCGGUGCAUUAGCUAGUUGGUGGGGUAAAGGCCCACCAAGGCGACGAUGCAUAGCCGACCUGAGAGGGGGAUCGACCACCCUGGGACGAAGACACCGCCCAGACUCCUACGGGAGGCAACAGUAGGGAAUCGUCCGCAAUGGGCUAAGACCUGACGGAGCAACGCCGCGUGAGGGAAUAAGGAUUUCGGUUCGUAAAGCUCUGUUGUUAGGGAAGAAUGGAUAUGUAGUAACUAUACAUGUAAGAGACGGUACCUAACCAGAAAGCCACGGCUGACUACGUG
rnacentral:rRNA from 1 species